rnacentral:lncRNA from 1 species
CGCUUCCUGCGCCUGUUCAGGUCAUCGCUUGCUCUGGUUCCCAGGCUUUGGCCUCUAGUGGACGAGAAUCACCGAGUCUGCGGGGCUAGACGCUGACCGCCCGGGCCAGCACCUAGGCGGGCGGGAGCUGUGCGGCCCAGGGUUCGCGCGGGCCGGGUAGAGGCUCGAGCCAGGACCCCCGAGCGUGAACCCCGGAGCCGGCGGCGCUGGGGCCAGAGGGGCCGGGCGGGAGGUGAUGGCGGAGGCGAAGGGGCGACGGGACCUGGGCCUGGCCCGUGUGUGUCCUCAGAGGCCUGGCGCCGGCCGUCGCUGUACGGUCUAUCAGCCACAGUCUCUGCAAGUUUCCAAGAGCAGCAGAAAAUGAACACAUUGCAGGUGAGUUUUCCUGCUUGUGUAUAUGUUCCUCAAUUUUAUUUUAUGAUGCAUUUUAAGAGGUUUGUAAGGAUUCAUACUUUUUUUUUUCUUUUUUUUGAGAUGGAGUCUUGCUCUGUUGCCCAGGCUGCAGUGCAGUGGCAUGAUCUCGCUUCACUGCAACCUCCACCUCCUGGGUUCAAGUGAUUCUCCUGCCUCAGCCUCCUGAGUAGCAGGGAUUACAGGCGUGCGCCACCAUGCCCAGCUAAUUUUUUGUAUUUUUAGAAGAGAUGGGGUUUCACUAUGUUGGCCAGGCUGGUCUCAAACUCCUGACCUCAGGUGAUCUUCCCACCUCAGCCUCCCAAAGUGCUGGGAUUACAGGCAUGAGCCACCAAGCCCAGCCAGGAUUCAUACUUUAAAAUGGGAAUGUGGAAAUAGACAUUAUCCUGUAAAAUAUAGUUAGUGUGGCAGAUCAGCACCAAAAAUGAUUUGUGAAGCUUGUAUGUAUGGGUAGUAUAUUUUAAGGCUGUUGAAAUUGAGCCGCACCUAGGACUGAUAUUCUUGGCAGUCAUCACAAAAGGAAAGUGCCAUCUGUAUUAGUCCAUUCUCACACUGCUAUAGAGAAAUAACCAAGACUGGGUAAUUUAUAAAGUAAAGAGGUUUAAUUGGCUCACGUCUGCAGGCUCUAUCAUAGGAAGCAUGGCUGAGGAGGCCUCAGGAAACUUACAGUCAGGUGAAAGGUGAAGGGAAAGCGGGCGCAUCUUCCAUCACCAGAGCAGGAGGAAGAGGGAACACUGGGGAUUACAAUUGAACAUGAGAUUUGGGAGGCAACACACACCGAAACCAUAUCACCAUCCAUGACAUCGUUUGCAUUGAUUAUAAGGAGAAACCAGUUUUGUUACUUGUGGAUUUAAAAGAUUUUCUGGGACUUGGAAAAAUUUCUUCAUUCAAGUUGGUGUAAUUGUGGAUAGCUUUCCUAACAACAACCAUUAAUUACUGUAACUUAUGGCUUAUUCUUGGUGCUUAUGUAAGCAGAGGGCCUGCUGCCCAAGGAGAACUUGGUGCAUAUAAUUUUUCCAGGGACGGAAAUAUCGUGAUCCAAGUAAACAAUUCUGUUUUUACUGUUGAGUCCUAGAUCAUGGGGGGAAUGAAUGACGUGAUCAUCCGUCAAAUAUUUGUUCGUCUUUUUGUUCGGGUUGCACAGCAAACAAUACAGACAGUUACUCUCUUGUGAAGAUUUCCUCAUUUCUGUUUCUCAUUUCACUUCUCAGUGUUUUCGUUUUGUCCUCAAUAAAUUAGGUAUUGAUGGGACGUAUUUCAAAAUAAUAAGAGCUAUCUAUGACAAACCCACAGCCAAUAUCAUACUGAAUGGGCAAAAACUGGAAGCAUUCCCUUUGAAAACUGGCACAAGACAGGGAUGCCCUCUCUCACCACUCCUAUUCAACAUAGUGUUGGAAGUUCUGGCCAGGGCAAUUAGGCAGGAGAAGGAAAUAAAGGGUAUUCAAUUAGGAAAAGAGGAAGUCAAAUUGAAAUUUAACUCAUCUUUCUUAUGUGACUCUAAAGGUCAAACCAUACCACCUGAAUAUUUUUAUCCUCUCUGAAUAUUUCCAUUAAAGAGUUUAUUU